CCUACGGGGGGCUGCAGUGAGGAAUAUUGCACAAUGGGGGAAACCCUGAUGCAGCAACGCCGCGUGGAGGAUGACGCAUUUCGGUGUGUAAACUCCUUUUAUAUGUCAAGAAAAUGACGGUAGCAUAUGAAUAAGCACCGGCUAACUCCGUGCCAGCAGCCGCGGUAAUACGGAGGGUGCAAGCGUUACUCGGAAUCACUGGGCGUAAAGGACGCGUAGGCGGGUUGUCAAGUCAGGUGUGAAAUCCUACAGCUUAACUGUAGAACUGCACUUGAAACUGGCAACCUAGAGUAUGGGAGGGGGAGAUGGAAUUAGUGGUGUAGGGGUAAAAUCCGUAGAUAUCACUAGGAAUAUCAAAAGCGAAGGCGAUCUCCUGGAACAUUACUGACGCUAAGGCGUGAAAGCGUGGGGAGCAAACAGGCUUAGAUACCCCGGUAGUC
rnacentral:rRNA from 1 species